GGUUAAGCGACUAAGCGUACACGGUGGAUGCCCUGGCAGUCAGAGGCGAUGAAGGACGUGCUAAUCUGCGAAAAGCGUCGGUAAGGUGAUAUGAACCGUUACAGCCGGCGAUGUCCGAAUGGGGAAACCCAGUGUGAUUCGUCACACUAUCGUUAACUGAAUACAUAGGUUAACGAGGCGAACCGGGGGAACUGAAACAUCUAAGUACCCCGAGGAAAAGAAAUCAACCGAGAUUCCCCCAGUAGCGGCGAGCGAACGGGGAGCAGCCCAGAGUCUGAAUCAGCUUGUGUGUUAGUGGAACGGUCUGGAAAGUCCGACGGUACAGGGUGAUAGUCCCGUACACCAAAAUGCACAGGCUGUGAACUCGAAGAGUAGGGCGGGACACGUGGUAUCCUGUCUGAAUAUGGGGGGACCAUCCUCCAAGGCUAAAUACUCCUGACUGACCGAUAGUGAACCAGUACCGUGAGGGAAAGGCGAAAAGAACCCCGGCGAGGGGAGUGAAAAAGAACCUGAAACCGUGUACGUACAAGCAGUGGGAGCACCUUCGGGUGUGACUGCGUACCUUUUGUAUAAUGGGUCAGCGACUUAUAUUCUGUAGCAAGGUUAACCGUAUAGGGGAGCCGCAGGGAAACCGAGUCUUAACUGGGCGUUAAGUUGCAGGGUAUAGACCCGAAACCCGGUGAUCUAGCCAUGGGCAGGUUGAAGGUUGGGUAACACUAACUGGAGGACCGAACCGACUAAUGUUGAAAAAUUAGCGGAUGACUUGUGGCUGGGGGUGAAAGGCCAAUCAAACCGGGAGAUAGCUGGUUCUCCCCGAAAGCUAUUUAGGUAGCGCCUCGUGAAUUCAUCUUCGGGGGUAGAGCACUGUUUCGGCUAGGGGGUCAUCCCGACUUACCAACCCGAUGCAAACUACGAAUACCGAAGAAUGUUAUCACGGGAGACACACGGCGGGUGCUAACGUCCGUCGUGAAGAGGGAAACAACCCAGACCGCCAGCUAAGGUCCCAAAGUCAUGGUUAAGUGGGAAACGAUGUGGGAAGGCACAGACAGCCAGGAUGUUGGCUUAGAAGCAGCCAUCAUUUAAAGAAAGCGUAAUAGCUCACUGGUCGAGUCGGCCUGCGCGGAAGAUGUAACGGGGCUAAACCAUGCACCGAAGCUGCGGCAGCGACACUAUGUGUUGUUGGGUAGGGGAGCGUUCUGUAAGCCUGCGAAGGUGUGCUGUGAGGCAUGCUGGAGGUAUCAGAAGUGCGAAUGCUGACAUAAGUAACGAUAAAGCGGGUGAAAAGCCCGCUCGCCGGAAGACCAAGGGUUCCUGUCCAACGUUAAUCGGGGCAGGGUGAGUCGACCCCUAAGGCGAGGCCGAAAGGCGUAGUCGAUGGGAAACAGGUUAAUAUUCCUGUACUUGGUGUUACUGCGAAGGGGGGACGGAGAAGGCUAUGUUAGCCGGGCGACGGUUGUCCCGGUUUAAGCAUGUAGGCUGAUUAUCCAGGCAAAUCCGGAUAAUCAAGGCUGAGGUGUGAUGACGAGGCACUACGGUGCUGAAGUAACAAAUGCCCUGCUUCCAGGAAAAGCCUCUAAGCAUCAGGUAACAUCAAAUCGUACCCCAAACCGACACAGGUGGUCAGGUAGAGAAUACCAAGGCGCUUGAGAGAACUCGGGUGAAGGAACUAGGCAAAAUGGUGCCGUAACUUCGGGAGAAGGCACGCUGGUGUGUAGGUGAAGUCCCUGCGGAUGGAGCUGAGACCAGUCGAAGAUACCAGCUGGCUGCAACUGUUUAUUAAAAACACAGCACUGUGCAAACACGAAAGUGGACGUAUACGGUGUGACGCCUGCCCGGUGCCGGAAGGUUAAUUGAUGGGGUUAUCCGUAAGGAGAAGCUCUUGAUCGAAGCCCCGGUAAACGGCGGCCGUAACUAUAACGGUCCUAAGGUAGCGAAAUUCCUUGUCGGGUAAGUUCCGACCUGCACGAAUGGCGUAAUGAUGGCCAGGCUGUCUCCACCCGAGACUCAGUGAAAUUGAACUCGCUGUGAAGAUGCAGUGUACCCGCGGCAAGACGGAAAGACCCCGUGAACCUUUACUAUAGCUUGACACUGAACAUUGAGCCUUGAUGUGUAGGAUAGGUGGGAGGCUUUGAAGCGUGGACGCCAGUCUGCGUGGAGCCAACCUUGAAAUACCACCCUUUAAUGUUUGAUGUUCUAACGUUGGCCCCUUACCGGGGUUGCGGACAGUGUCUGGUGGGUAGUUUGACUGGGGCGGUCUCCUCCCAAAGCGUAACGGAGGAGCACGAAGGUUAGCUAAUCCUGGUCGGACAUCAGGAGGUUAGUGCAAUGGCAUAAGCUAGCUUGACUGCGAGCGUGACGGCGCGAGCAGGUGCGAAAGCAGGUCAUAGUGAUCCGGUGGUUCUGAAUGGAAGGGCCAUCGCUCAACGGAUAAAAGGUACUCCGGGGAUAACAGGCUGAUACCGCCCAAGAGUUCAUAUCGACGGCGGUGUUUGGCACCUCGAUGUCGGCUCAUCACAUCCUGGGGCUGAAGUAGGUCCCAAGGGUAUGGCUGUUCGCCAUUUAAAGUGGUACGCGAGCUGGGUUUAGAACGUCGUGAGACAGUUCGGUCCCUAUCUGCCGUGGGCGCUGGAGAAUUGAGGGGGGCUGCUCCUAGUACGAGAGGACCGGAGUGGACGCAUCACUGGUGUUCGGGUUGUCAUGCCAAUGGCACUGCCCGGUAGCUAAAUGCGGAAGAGAUAAGUGCUGAAAGCAUCUAAGCACGAAACUUGCCCCGAGAUGAGUUCUCCCUGAGACUUUAAGUCUCCUGAAGGAACGUUAAAGACGAUGACGUUGAUAGGCCGGGUGUGUAAGCGCAGCGAUGCGUUGAGCUAACCGGUACUAAUGAACCGUGAGGCUUAACCUU
rnacentral:rRNA from 1 species